rnacentral:rRNA from 1 species
CAGCAGCCGCGGUAAUGCGAAGGGGGCUAGCGUUGUUCGGAAUUACUGGGCGUAAAGCGCACGUAGGCGGAUUUUUAAGUCAGGGGUGAAAUCCCGAGGCUCAACCUCGGAACUGCCUUUGAUACUGGAGAUCUUGAGUUCGGAAGAGGUUGGUGGAACAGCUAGUGUAGAGGUGAAAUUCGUAGAUAUUAGCUAGAACACCAGUGGCGAAGGCGGCCAACUGGUCCGAUACUGACGCUGAGGUGCGAAAGCGUGGGGAGCAAACGGGAUUAGAUACCCGCGUAGUCCCUGUCUCUUAUAC